CAGCCAAACAGGUGAGUGAAUAAGUUCACACACACACGCACACACAUUCUCUCAUAGUCCUGGAGGGCAGGAGUCUGACACGGGCUCAUCAGGCUAAAAUGAAGGUAUCCACUGGGCUGGCUUCUCUUGGAGGCAGCAGGGAGAGCUUGUCUCCCUCCCUUCUCCAGCUUCCAGAGGUGCCACUAUCCGUGGCUCCAUCUUCUGAGCCAAAAGGUAGCAUCUUCUAGUCUCUGACUCUGACCCUCCCAUCUCCCCCUUUGUAAGGACCCUUGUGAUGACAUGGGGGACACCCGGGGAAUCCAUGACUAUCUCCCCACCUUGAGGUCUGUAAUGUGUUCACAUCUGCAAAGUCUCUUUGGCCACGAAAGUCCCUAGGACAUGGACAUGUUGGGUCAUCUUCCCGCCUACCAUAGGUUCCUUCCCUCUUGAACUUUCUAAGGCCUGGUAAGAGCUGCAUCCUCCAUGAAACCCACCGUCAGUUCCAGCAGUAGCUGAUGUUCACGCAGGCCUUCCUCCCCGCCCCCCAGUUGCCGAGGUGCCCUAUGUAAUCCACAGCACCCCCCUAGAGUGAAGGCCUGUCCACAUUCAUGCGGAGGUGAGCAGCGGAGCGGGAACUGUACCCCCUCCUGCCAGAGCCUGAGCUGUCGACCACAUCUGUGACUGUUGCCCAGUGUCACCUCAUUGAAUCAACAGGAAUCAGAGGUUCAGAGAACAAACUCAGCUCCAGGGCCUCCCACUCGUUGCCGGUGGGAAUCAGAACAUGCAGCCACUUUGAAAGACGGGUGGGCAACUUUCUCACAAAGCCAGUCAUAGGCUUGACCGUGUGAUCCCCGAGUUGUGCUCCUAGGUGUUCACCCAGAGGAGCUGACAGCGGGUGUCCACACAGACACCUGUGUGAAGGUGCCGCAGCAGCUUUAUUCAUAAUCGCCGGGCAGGACUAGAGCCAGAGCAGGCGGGAGACAGGGGCAGACAGAGGUCACUGAGGUGCAGCCACUGACAUCACAGUGCCGUCUGAGCUCUUGACUUCGGACAGAGUCCAGGGAGAAAGGCCCACACCUGUCACCUGGUGAUGGACUCGGCUUCAUCUCACACCCUCUGGCUCAGCAUCCCCACCCUUGCUGGUUCCCACACCCCACGCUCAUGUGCCCUGACCUCUGGUCUUGGCUAUGCCCUCUCCCCACUCGCCAUCCUGACCCCUCUGUGUUCACUAUAACCAGGACAAAGCCCUCCAUCUGUCUCCCCUGUGCUCCAAGAGUGGAUAAGUGAACCUCCUGGUGAGGGGCAUCUCUCCAUCUAGCUACUAGUCCACACCACUGUCAUGGUUUCCUUUUCCUAGACAGUCAGCUGGAGGUGUCGGGGUGGGGGUGAGGGGGCCAACCAGUGACGUUUCCCGGCUGGCCGGAGGUCCUAGUGCCCAAGCUGGGCUUCCAGAGCCCUCAGUGGACCGCUGGACAGUAGCUGGGUACCUUCUCUGAUCCGGCAGCCCCACACCAUCUUGGGCCUUCCUGGACGCACCCCAGCCCCUGCAUGCCCGGCCCAACGUAGUGACAGGCAGGUCCCCGAAAGCCCUGCUCUGAGAACCUGGGUGCACCCAUCAUCUCAUCUCCACGGCAACCCUGGGAGAAGGGCGAUUAUGAUCAAAUCCACUCUGCAAGUGAGGCUCUGAGGCUCGGAAAAGCCGGUGACUCGCACACCCUCGGAGUCAGAAGGCGUCAGGGCCGGGUCCAUACUCAACCUCGAAAUGAAAAAUAAAUUCCGCUCUAAGCUUCCUGGCAACAAAGGCCCAAGAGGGAAGUCUUCAUCAUCUGAAGAUGGAAACACCAGCUCACCUGGCAGGGAGAUGCACGCCUGACACCAAAUUCUAGGACAAACAUGCUUUCUUCUAAACAGCCAGGAGUUCUGCUUUCACUUUUGAAAGGCAGGCUGGUAUCCAGAUGUUUUUAAAUCUUAUCAACAUGCUUAAAAGGUAAGGAGACACUUCACUGAAUCAAGCACAUGGAAUCCUAACUCUCUAGCUCUAACCAAAGAUAAAAACAAAAGCGGUCUUCUGCUUUUCCAGGAUUUCUUUCCUGGAAACAGCUACCUGCUAGUAAAACUGAACGCUAGGUCUCUGGAAACAUCAGGUAGCCCCAAAUGCUGAAAGAGUCAUAGCAACUAACGAUGAUCAGAAGGAAACGAAGGAAAGAAUGUCCUAACCGCAGGGCACAGCUCAGCAUCCAGAGCAUCUGAUUGAGUUUCGAUGCUUCUACCUGAGUGACAGAAGUGGGCACGGUGCUGUUCCCCGUCGGGUCCUCAGGACGCCCUUACCAAACGAAGAGCAGGGUGAAACCCUCCACCCCAGGCCAGGGGGCUUCACAUCCGACAGUAAUUGUAAUAAUGAGAUUCUAGCUGUAGGGGGUGGGCAGGCGGCGGUGCCCUGGAGACUUAAACUGUGAUCUGUUGA